rnacentral:tRNA from 1 species
ACAUUGGUGGCUCAGUGGUAGAAUUCUUGCCUUCCAUGCAGGAGACCCGGGUUCUAUUCCCAGCCAGUGCA